AAAUAGAACUUUGCAGAGAGAGUUAACAGGGCGUGAAACCGUUAAUUGGCAAACGAAUCGGAGCCACGAAGUCGUUUCGUUGUUUAGUUGCGCUAGGUUCAGUUGGCAAACGAAAGUUUGUCGGCGUAUUCCUAAGUGUGGCCUAACUUUGUAAGCGUACACUGCAACCAGUUAGACGAUUGGCCAUGGGCACAGUUGUUUACAGUUAGAAGUAGUGCGGUGCAUUUCGGUGCAUUUGUGUUGCUAAAUUGUAAUAGGAGAACUAUGGCCAAAUACUGACUGGCACAAUGAAAAUCGCGCUUGCGCGUUUUAAACAAAGCGGCUAUCCACAUUGGUAUCUACAUGCUGGUCGCGUGUGUCUAAGCUCAGCGCUUUUGAAUUCGGACUUGCAUCCUACCAAUGGGGCAACUCUUGGUGCUUGUAUAGAUUCGUCUAAUCGGGCGUUGACUUGGCAUUCGUGUUCUAGUAUGAAGCGAUUGGAUUUUAAUGCGAGAUGGUCCGCAAUGAUUGGCAGUGAGUAGGUCGGCUUUCCGAACGACCCGUCUUGAAACACGGACCAAGGAGUCUAAUUAGGUAUCGAGUCGAUCGGUCUUGAAUAGGCCAGACUAGUGCGGGCGUGCUGAGAAGGCGUAGAGACAAUCAUGUGAUCGUGCGGCAAAACAGCCGUUUCGCGCAACAUGUGCCUGUUCGUAUAGCAAUGUAGCAAUAAUUGCUGAGCGGAGCAAAGAGAUACCUGAUUGGUACCCGAAAGAUGGUGAUGCCUGGGCAAAUUGAAGCCAGAGGAAACUCUGGUGGAGGAUUUAGAUUCUGACGUGCAAAUCGAUCGUCAGACCUGGGUUAGGGGCGAAAGACUAAUCGAACCAUC
rnacentral:rRNA from 1 species